rnacentral:lncRNA from 1 species
CCCAAAGUGCUAGGAUUAUAGGUGUGAGCCACCACUCCCGGCCCUACUAUUUGUUUUUUAUGUAUCCUCCACCUCCAUCACCACCAUAAUGUAGAGAAUGGCAGCAGUAGGGAGGCCUGCUGUCACACAGGUUUUAUCUGGCUCUUCUCUGACAAACCAACAAAAGGUGGGGUGUAAAUGACCUGAAAGGCUCUGAUUAGAACUAUUGAUUUUUCGUGCAGAAUCUAAAUCAACUAUCAUGGAAGGAACUGAUCGCCAGAUGUGCCAGCAGGAUGCCUGAAAGGCAACUUCCCCUAUUAGGUAGCCCUGUUAUUAUGAAUGUGUGACUUCAUUUUUCUGAAUCAAUUCUGUAUAACAGAACAGUAACUGUACAAAUAUAUAAAUAAAAUCUAAUCUUGUAAACUAGUGAGAAUACAAGUUUUUUUUUAAUAAACAUGGCUGUUAGGUUAAAAAAAAAAAAAAAAGACCCAGGUGAAAAAAGUGGGAAGAUUUUGUGAAUAACUUAGUGAGAGUGAACUAAGACAUCCAAGUUGAUUCUAAGGCUUCUUGUUUGAGACCAACAUUUGUUAAUAAGAGCAG